ACCAUAUAGCAAAUACGUUUUCCUCCUAGUCUCAAACGUAGUUGUAUUUAUGGCAUCUAUUUUGUGAUGUUCAUUUUAUUAUGAGAUAUUUGGUGUGCUUUUUUAUUUCUUGAUAUUAAUGAUCAACAAUAUACUAUAUUAUUUUUUGUGCUUUUCAUUUUCUUAAAUAGAAUCUGUCACACAGUAUCAUGAUGAAUUGCUUAUACAAUUACCAAUACUUUUUAUUUCUAUUUGUUCUUCACAUUCAUUUCAUAGUCUGUUCUUUGAUUAUAGUGUUCUUUCUUUGCAGGAAGAAUUUCAAUUGGCAAUCUUCAAUAAUAGGAAAAAGGAGAAUAUCUUUGCCAAUCGGGUACCAUACAUGCACAACAUGCGUCUGGUUUAUGAAUAAGGCCUUCAUUUUAAGGUUUCUUGCAUGCAUGAGUGAAUGCCUAUCUAGCAUCACAAAUGUACUUUGUUAAAUCGAUGAUUUGCAAUGCAAAUAGGUUAAUGAAGACAUUUUUCAUUUAGGCUCUAUGAUUUGGACAGCACAGGCUUUAUGGAACGCCAAGAGGUCAAGCAAAUGUUGAUUGCGCUUCUCUGUGAAUCUGAAAUGAAGCUAGCAGAUGAGGUGAUCGGGGUUUUUUUUAAUAAAUACAAAACGACGUUGUUUCAGUCCUCUCUAAUGGCAAAGAUAGA